rnacentral:rRNA from 1 species
UGCGCUACCUGGUUGAUCCUGCCAGUAGUCAUAUGCUUGUCUCAAAGAUUAAGCCAUGCAUGUGGAAGCAUAAGCUUCUCUAUCCGCAAAGCUGCGAAUGGCUCAUUAAAUCUGCGCUGAUCUGUCCAAGAGUCAACAGAGAUGGAUAAUUGUGCUAAUUGUGCAACAAAUACGUGCUGAAUCUCGAUAUUCUUCGAGGCGCUUAUUAGAACCAGAACCAUUCCGCGUCAGCGGUAACUCUUAGGAUGUGAACAAUAAGGAGGUAUACCGUGGUUUAACCACAGGUAUUUUGGGUGAAGCGCAGCCCUAUCAGUUGUGGACGGUAAGGUAUUGGCUUACCGUGGCAGUUACGGGUGACGGGGAAUUUGGGUUCGAUUCCGGAGAGGGAGCCUGAAAAACGGCUACCACGUCUAAGGAUGGCAGCAGGCGCGCAAAUUACCCAAUCUUAAUGGAUGGAGGUAGUGACGAGUAAUAACAGCGUGUGGCUAAGCUGCACGACUGGAAUGAAUCGGGCUUAAUAACCCCGUUGAGUAUCAAUUGGAGGGCAAGUCUGGUGCUAGCAGCCGCGGUAAUUCCAGCUCCAAUAGCAUAUAUUAAAGUUGUUGCAGUUAAAACGCUCGUAGUCGAAGAUGGCUUCCUCAGUUGAUUGUGCAGCUUGCUGCCGUUGAUUCUGAUCCAGCUUUGCGUCGCACUAGCGUCCCUCGACGUUGGUGUAAUAUCACUUUGAAUAUUUCAAAGUGUUCAAGGCAAUUUGUUUGAUUGCUCAAGCAUGGAAUACAGAAUUGGCCUCCGCUGGUUCUAUGGUUCUACAAGCAUGUGCAAUGAUUGAGAUGAACGGUUGGGGGGAUACGCAUUUGGCUGUUAGAGGUGAAAUUCUUGGAUCAGUCAAGGGCGAACUGAUGCGAAAGCGUUUCCCAAGAACGUUUUUAUUGAUUAAGAACGAAGGUUAAGGGAUCGAAGACGAUCAGAUACCGUCGUAGUUUUAACGGUAAACUAUGCCGUCCAAAGACCAAGUUUUCGCGUAGAGAUCACUUGGGAUUUCGAGAGAAAUCAGAGAUUUUGGGUUCUGGGGGAAGUAUGUGCGCAAGCUGGAAACUUAAAGGAAUUGACGGAAGGGCACCACAAGGAGUGGAACAUGCGGCUUAAUUUGACUCAACACGGGGAAACUUACCAGGGCAAGACAUAGGAAGGAUUGACAGGAUGAUAGUUCUUUCUUGAUUCUUUGGGUGGUGGUGCAUGGCCGAUUCUAGUUGGUGGAGUGAUUUGUCUGGUUGAUUCCGUUAACGAACGAGACCUUUUCUCCCAAAUUGUUUUGGCUUAUGUUCUUAGGUCAUAGAAAGUUGGAGCACAACAUGUAGAAAACAUGGGGAAGAUGAAGGCGAAAUCAGGUCUGUGAUGCCCCUAGAUGUUCUGGGCCGCACGCGUGUUACAAUGGUGAUUUCAGAUAGCAUCAUACUCCUUAUAAAAACGGAAGGUGUCUGUAAAUGGAACGCCAAACUUGGGAUUGGCUAUUGGAAUUUUUGGCCGUGAACGAGGAAUUCCUUGUGAUUGCAGAUCAUCAGUCUCCGAUGAAUACGUCCCUGCCCUUUGUACACACCGCCCGUCGCUCCUACCGAUUGGGUGAUCCGGUUAAUUCCACAGAGGAGUCGUCGAACCUUUAUUGGAACUGCGAUUCCGAAGUGGUGUGAACCUUAUCAUUUAGAGGAAGGAGAAGUCGUAACAAGGUUUCCGUAGGUGAACCUGCAGAAGGAUCA